CAUACUACCCCACGCACAACAAGUGGUGCCCCGUCAAGGUUCUGGAUGCAUACCUACAGCAUCAUAUUUCAAUACCAUCACAACCAUUACUACUAUUACAAAGUUCAGUACUCACCACUACAACCUUCAUGACCUACGUCAGGUCUUUGCUCACUCAACUGGGCCUCAAAGCAGCUAACUACUCAGGGCACUCCUUCCGCAUAGG